UGAAUUUGCCGUAAAAGUCCAAAUUAUAUACGCGUAACGGUCUGUCCAAAACACUUUGAUCCUUCGUGCAUUGAUCAAUUCGGCCCUAAUUGCAAAUCUGUCCUUAUAAUGUAACAGCUGUAACGCACGACAUUGAUUCGCUCGUGGUUUGUGACGAAUUUGCCGAGAAACGUCAGUAAACGUCGAGAGUCUGGGUUUGUUUUCACGCUAACUUUGAAGUACCCAUUAAAUGGGUUCCUUGUACCCAUUUUUAUUGCUAGUACUGAGUUGUCAGAAAAAGGGUAUUAUUUUUUAACACUAAAAAGAGUACAUUUUACUCUUCUUGAAGAACGAGUUCCGUCAGUAAAAAAGGGUAAAAAAGCCACUUUUCGCCAUUUGGAGCAACAACAUUGAAGUGUUUUGCCGCAAAUCAUAUUUCGUUAAUUAAUUGAAAGAAUCAUGGUCCGUACUUGGCUUAAAGCAGAACCCUUCAAGGAGCAUUACAAGCGGCAAUUAAAGAGUGGGUUUUCAUCCGGGAUAUGGAAUAGCAAAAUACGGAGCAAGACCCCUGGAUACAGAUGAGAAAGUCAACGCAUUAAAGUUUGAGUUAGCACCUUAGUUAUAAGUAAUCAAAUAAAAAGAUUUCCAUUAAAAUAUA